rnacentral:rRNA from 1 species
UGCCAGCCGCCGCGGUAAUACGAAGGGACCUAGCGUAGUUCGGAAUUACUGGGCUUAAAGAGUUCGUAGGUGAUUAAAAAAGUUGGUUGUGAAAUCCCGAAGCUUAACUUCGGAACUGCAAUCAAAACUUUUUAGCUAGAGUAUGAUAGAGGAAAGCAGAAUUUCUAGUGUAGAGGUGAAAUUCGUAGAUAUUAGAAAGAAUACCAAUUGCGAAGGCAGCUUUCUGGAUCAUUACUGACGCUGAGGAACGAAAGCAUGGGUAGCGAAGAGGAUUAGAUA